GACGAACGCUGGCGGCGUGCUUAACACAUGCAAGUCGAGCGGAAAGGCCUCUUCGGGGGUACUCGAGCGGCGAACGGGUGAGUAACACGUGAGUAAUCUGCCCUUCACUCUGGGAUAGCCACCGGAAACGGUGAUUAAUACCGGAUACGACACGUCCAGGCAUCUGGUGCGUGUGGAAACUUUUUGGGUGGGGGAUGUGCUCGCGGCCUAUCAGCUUGUUGGUGGGGUAAUGGCCUACCAAGGCUUCGACGGGUAGCCGGCCUGAGAGGGUGACCGGCCACGCUGGGACUGAGACACGGCCCAGACUCCUACGGGAGGCAGCAGUGGGGAAUAUUGGACAAUGGGCGGAAGCCUGAUCCAGCAACGCCGCGUGAGGGAUGACGGCCUUCGGGUUGUAAACCUCUUUCAGCACCGACGAAGCGAUCCUUUGGGGAGUGACGGUAGGUGCAGAAGAAGGACCGGCCAACUACGUGCCAGCCGCCGCGGUAAGAC
rnacentral:rRNA from 1 species